GGGGUAACAGCCCACCAAGACGAUGAUAGGUAGGGGUUCUGAGAGGAAGGUCCCCCACAUUGGAACUGAGACACGGUCCAAACUCCUACGGGAGGCAGCAGUGAGGAAUAUUGGUCAAUGGACGAGAGUCUGAACCAGCCAAGUCGCGUGAGGGAAGACUGCCCUAUGGGUUGUAAACCUCUUUUAUAAGGGAAGAAUAAGUUCUACGUGUAGAAUGAUGCCUGUACCUUAUGAAUAAGCAUCGGCUAACUCCGUGCCAGCAGCCGCGGUAAUACGGAGGAUGCGAGCGUUAUCCGGAUUUAUUGGGUUUAAAGGGUGCGUAGGCGGUUUAUUAAGUUAGUGGUUAAAUAUUUGAGCUAAACUCAAUUGUGCCAUUAAUACUGGUAAACUGGAGUACAGACGAGGUAGGCGGAAUAAGUUAAGUAGCGGUGAAAUGCAUAGAUAUAACUUAGAACUCCGAUAGCGAAGGCAGCUUACCAGACUGUAACUGACGCUGAUGCACGAGAGCGUGGGUAGCGAACAGGAUUAGAUACCCUGGUAGUCCACGCCGUAAACGAUGCUCACUGGUUCUGUGCGAUAUAUUGUACGGGAUUAAGCGAAAGUAUUAAGUGAGCCACCUGGGGAGUA
rnacentral:rRNA from 1 species